GAUGAACGCUAGCGGCAGGCUUAAUACAUGCAAGUCGUGGGGCAGCAUGAGUAGCAAUACUUGAUGGCGACCGGCAAACGGGUGAGGAACACGUACACAACCUUCCUUCAAGCGGGGAAUAGCCCAGAGAAAUUUGGAUUAAUACCCCAUAAUAUAUUUGAUAAGGCAUCUUAUUAAUAUUAAAGCUUCGGCACUUGAUGAUGGGUGUGCGGCUGAUUAGAUAGUUGGCGGGUAACGGCCCACCAAGUCUACGAUCAGUAGCUGAUGUGAGAGCAUGAUCAGCCACACGGGCACUGAGACACGGGCCCGACUCCUACGGGAGGCAGCAGUUAAGGAAUAUUGGACAAUGGACGAAAGUCUGAUCCAGCCAUGCCGCGUGAAGGAUUAAGGUCCUCUGGAUUGUAAACUUCUUUAUAUGGGAC
rnacentral:rRNA from 1 species